ACCUCGAUGGGGCAGUAGGCCGCGCGUGAGUCUCGUAAUCUCCAGGUCGUGAGUUCGAUCCUCACUCGGGGCA
rfam:Ciona savignyi cont_53214, whole genome shotgun sequence.